rnacentral:tRNA from 1 species
GCGGCUGUGGCGGAAUUGGCAUACGCGCUAGACUAAGGAUCUAGUGGUCCUAGACCUUGCAGGUUCAAGUCCUGUCAGCCGCA